rnacentral:rRNA from 1 species
UACGUAGGCAGCGAGCGUUGUUCGGAAUUACUGGGCGUAAAGAGUGUGUAGGCGGUGCUCUAAGUUCGGUGUGAAAUCUCCCGCUUAACUGGGAGGGUGCGCCGGAAACUGGAGUGCUCGAGCGUGGGAGAGGAAAGCGGAAUUCCUGGUGUAGCGGUGAAAUGCGUAGAUAUCAGGAGGAACACCCGUAGCGAAGGCGGCACUCUGGGCCGAUACUGACACUGAGGAGCGAAAGCGUGGGGAGCGAACAGG